GGGCCGUUAGCUCAGGGGUAGAGCACCUGACUUUUAAUCAGGGUGUCGAUGGUUCGAAACCAUCACGGCCUACCA
rnacentral:tRNA from 1 species